UAGUGGCGGUGGGCGGUGGUGCACGGCUGGUGACAGGCCACGGCUGUCUGUAUGCGUGCUGGUGCAAGCUUGCUGCCUGGCAGCUGGGAAGGUUGUUGCUUGUGAUAAUUCCGUGUCGUCCACAACAGUUAAGGACUUUCAAAUGACGCUAGUGAAAGAAAGAGAGUGAGAGUGAAGAAAACUUUUAUGUGGGACAGAGACUCGGAGUGUGGUUGAGAGAGAGAGAGAGAAAUGAAGGGUGAAUAGAAGUGGGUAUCCUGUCAUUUAAAUACCUGGACCAAGCUGCUGUCUUCCGCUUAAAUCUUGGACCAAGCUGCUGCCUUCCACUCGGAUCCUGGACCACCAUGCCUUUCACUUAGAUCUCAGACCAAGCUGCCUUCCACUUAUGGCUUUUUGAUGUUCAGCUGCACACUAACCUUCAGAGACACCUAUGGCAAGUCCAAGACAGAGAAGAGAAGAUGGAUAAUGCUUUUUGAUGUUCAGCUGCACACUAACCUUCAGAGACACCUAUGGCAAGUCCAAGACAGAGAAGAGAAGAUGGAUAAUGUAAUAAUCACAACAUAAUUGGUUGAUUUUUUUUUUAGUGUUUGUGUGUGUGAAACAUGUUGACAGCGUAUAUUAUUUCAAUCCACUCAGCAUAUUUAUAGAUUUCAUGACCCUUUGCGUUCACGAAGUAAUUUGAUUUUAUAUACAUCUUUACUUAGCCAGCAGUAAAAGUUUAUGGAAAUUAUAAUUUAUAAGAGUUACUUAUAAGAGAUUUUGUAUUAUAAAGAUUAGUUGAAAGUUCUCAGCAUAGCCUUGGUUUAUCACCACCAUCUAGUUCAGUGAGUCUUUGCUAGCCUGCUCAAUAUAUGUAAUUUGUCAGUCAUUCACUUUGCUGAUGGUGUCAGUUCAAAGCCUCCCUGCCAGACCUUUAUUACUUGAGCCAUCUCUCCCAUCUCAGUCACACACCCAUCUCUUUGUUCCCUUCACUGCAUUGCAAGCCUUUCACUUUGUGUUUACUGGUGCAAACUGUACUUCCUUCAGAGGGAAUUUCAGUCAUCACUGCAAGGUCUUUGUGCAGCUGUUGUAAUGAAAUUGUGGUAGUUAUUCCUUAAUAUAAAUACCACAUUUAGAAAGAAACUUUGUAUUAUUAGUUUAAAGCACAUAUAUAGCCAGCAUCUCAACUUUUUAGAACUGAUUGCAGUUGUGUUCUGCAUUAGACUCCAGAAUGACCGUGUUUUUAAAUGUAAUUGUAAUGUUUAUGAUGACAGGCAACACGCUGUUUGCUCUCCAUGUCCAUGUAAAAUGCUCCUAAAUUGUACCAAGUUGAAACUUUUAUCAAUUUUUGUAAUUGAUAUUGUCAACGUUCAAAAAACUAAAUUUUAUAUUUUUCUAGUAAGUAUUGUCAGCUUGUCAGCAUUCAGUUGCAAAAAACUGUAUAAAUUUUAUAUUUUUCUAGUAAGUAUUGUCAGCAUUCAAAAAUUUAAAUUGUCAGCAUUCAAAAAAUUUUACUAAGUUGAAAGUUUCGUAGACUUAUAAAUUUUUCAAACGAGUAUUAGCAUUCAAAAAAAUUUUUUUUUUAAUUGAUUUUGUCAUUAAAAAAACUAAAUUUUAUAUUUAUUCUAGUAAGUAUUGUCAACAUUAUAAAUUUUAUAUUUUUCUAGUAAGUAUUGUCAGCAUUCAAAAAAUUUUAGUAAGUUUAAAUUUUAUAUUUUUCUAGUAAGUAUUGUCAGCAUUCAAAAAAUUUUAGUAAGUUGAAAGUUUCAUAGACUUUAUAAGUUUUUAAAAUGAGAAUUAUCCCUGGAUUUAAGAUGUAAUGUAAUGACAAAUUACUAAAUAAAGGGAAGGGAGAGAGA